UACGUAGGGUGCGAGCGUUAAUCGGAAUUACUGGGCGUAAAGAGUGUGUAGGCGGUGUCGUACGUCUGGUGUGAAAUCUCCCGGCUUAACUGGGAGGGUGCGCCGAAGACUGCGAUGCUUGAGUAUGGGAGAGGAAAGCGGAAUUCCUGGUGUAGCGGUGAAAUGCGUAGAUAUCAGGAGGAACACCUGCGGUGUAGACGGCUUUCUGGACCAUUACUGACACUGAGACACGAAAGCGUGGGUAGCAAACAGG
rnacentral:rRNA from 1 species